rnacentral:piRNA from 1 species
UAGGUUGUAUGUAUGGGAAUGAUGUGAUUGU